rnacentral:rRNA from 1 species
UACGUAGGGUGCAAGCGUUAAUCGGAAUUACUGGGCGUAAAGCGUGCGCAGGCGGUUGUGCAAGACCGAUGUGAAAUCCCCGGGCUUAACCUGGGAACUGCAUUGGUGACUGCACGGCUAGAGUGUGUCAGAGGGGGGUAGAAUUCCACGUGUAGCAGUGAAAUGCGUAGAGAUGUGGAGGAAUACCGAUGGCGAAGGCAGCCCCCUGGGAUAACACUGACGCUCAUGCACGAAAGCGUGGGGAGCAAACA